UAUCUCAAGCUCUGUAGCCCAGAAAUUUUCCAACUCUGCUAAUUCAGUAUUGUGACUAACAGCCCAGUUAGAAAGUGGUGGGUUCCAAUCUAAGAUCCCCCUUUAUGAAGCCUUAUGACUUUGAGUAAAGGUCUUAUCCUACAUAAAUUGUCCCCAUAUUUCAGAUGGCUAAGCAGAAAUAAGAAUAGAAACUAUACAUGGGCUGUUGUGAAAAUGGAAGAAUGGAUUGAACAUGGUCGGUGCCCAAAGAAUGAUAGCYGGAAGCUGGAAGGAGCCCUCAACCRGGGGUGGAGAAAAGUUGACAGAUGAGUCCUCAAAGUCCUUACCUCAUGGUGUUACCACCCUGAAGUUUGUUCUACAUUGACUCGUAAAAUUCUCCUGUGGGAUUGAGCCCAGGUACAAAUGCAAGUACUCUUAUUGGUAAAUUGAUUUUAAGUUUUUAAAAUUUUCGUCUUCCUCUACUGUACCAUAUGUGGAGAAGAAAGCAACACAGCCUAAAUUGUCUUUGCCAGGAAGAGGAUCGUGCCUAUCAGAGGAGUAAAGUAUGGACUCUAAUUAUUUAUGUACAAGGAAGAACUGGCUACAAACUUCAAGAAGGCAGAAUUGGGACUACACUGACACUGAAGUGGGCCACUUCCAGGCUGGAGGAGAGAGGGCUCAAUGGAGCAUCUCAGACACAGCAGUAGAAUGGAGGGCAGAAUACUGGAUGAGGAAAUACCAUGAGUCAUUGAAGGACUGAGGGCAUUUGGUGAAGGGUGAUGAAUUUUCUACACAUACAGAAGGCAGUUCUCCAUGGUCUUAGAUACAAACAGAGCAGACUUUGUGAUGCAAAUUUUGGUGCUAUCAGCAUCUUCAGGAAGUACCACCCACAGAGGAGGAAAUUGAGAAAACGGGAAAGAAAGACAGUACAAGUGGGAGAAACAAAUGAAAGCGAAGAUAUGAUCCCUGACUUCAAGCAGCUCACCAUGCAUUUGGAAAAGUAACUUCAGUGAAACAGACACUAGGCUACAGAGCUGAUUGUGAGGAGUGAAGACAGCCUCUUUCCAAAUAAAGGAAAUUGCGAUUAUCUCAGUGGCCAGCCAUAGUGCAAGGACAUUUCUUUAGCCACCAGCCCAUUCCCCAGUCAUGCCAUAGCUAGCAGAACAGAGGACUACGAGAUAUCCUAUCCAGCAAGGUAGUAUUCAAGUCCAUUAAAGGAUAAUAGCCAUCAAUCACAAGUCCACUGGCAUUUUCCUUGAAAGGAAAUGUGUCUUACGCUGAGGUCUCCCAGAGCAGAUGCUGAAACAAGAAUUCAAUGGCAAAUGGUUUUUUUUGGGGGGGAACUGAUCCCAAAAAGCACUGAAAGGGGAAAGGGGAACUGAUAGAAAAAGAAGCGAAUAUAGUAUAAGUUAACCAGCAGGAUGAUUAGGGCUUAUUCCACUGGGGAAUUGUAGAACACAAUGUAGAAACUACUUGGAGUCAUUAUAUCUGAGAGGUGAGGAAUCUUAAGUAUUUAUCUUCCAAAGGAAGGAUCAUGGGUUUGUUCUGAAAUAGACAGUGCAGAAGGGUAAUGGGUGGGAAGGUUUGAAAGGUAAUAUCUGUUACCGAAGGAAAACAGUUUGAAAUUAGAAAAGGAUUUUGGUUAUGUCUCCAGUUUGGACCAAUGAAUGCAUUUUGGUAUUGCUUCCUCUCUCACGAUAAUCUGCUCUCAUUUGGGAAUGGUCUCAGUGACGUUCCCUGGUUUUAGAUGAUUAAUCCAUUGGUAGGCAUCUCUUUCAAACUGGGCCAUUCAAAUUCUCUUCCCAUGAAUUUGAAACUUAAAACAAAAAGACACAAGGAAUUGAAGUCACUGCAAAUGCAUUUUAUAGAAAGUCUUUUGACAUUUGAAUGUUGAGAGUAGAACACUCCCAUUACUACCUCCCCACCUUCCUAAAUACUGUCCCCCCCCAAUUCUUCCCAUUCCACAGUCUUAUAAUUCUCUCUCUCUCUCUCUCUCAGGUCUCUCUUUUCCCCCCACUAGGUAUAUGAAGAGAAUCAAGGUUUCUUUUCUGUUGUUUGCUAUCAAUAUGAUAUGAUUGCAUUUAUGUGUGCUCAAUUUCAAAAACCCUUUUGUAUCUGAAUAUAAUAGUCAUUGCCCAGGUUUUUGUUUAAAUCAAUGGCAUUUGCCAAUUUAAUCUCCAUUCAUC